AUGCACGCUGGCGGCGUGCCUAAUCCCUGCCAGUCGAGCGAACAGAUGAGGAGCUUGCUCCUCUGACGUUAGCGGCGGACGGGUGAGUAACACGUGGAUAACCUACCUAUAAGACUGGGAUAACUUCGGGAAACCGGAGCUAAUACCGGAUAAUAUAUUGAACCGCAUGGUUCAAUAGUGAAAGACGGUUUUGCUGUCACUUAUAGAUGGAUCCGCGCCGCAUUAGCUAGUUGGUAAGGUAACGGCUUACCAAGGCAACGAUGCGUAGCCGACCUGAGAGGGUGAUCGGCCACACUGGAACUGAGACACGGUCCAGACUCCUACGGGAGGCAGCAGUAGGGAAUCUUCCGCAAUGGGCGAAAGCCUGACGGAGCAACGCCGCGUGAGUGAUGAAGGUCUUCGGAUCGUAAAACUCUGUUAUUAGGGAAGAACAAAUGUGUAAGUAACUAUGCACGUCUUGACGGUACCUAAUCAGAAAGCCACGGCUAACUACGUG
rnacentral:rRNA from 1 species